UACAGAGGGGGCAAGCGUUGUUCGGAAUUACUGGGCGUAAAGGGCGCGUAGGCGGCCUGUUAAGUCGAACGUGAAAUCCCCGGGCUCAACCCGGGAACUGCGUCCGAUACUGGCAGGCUUGAAUCCGGGAGAGGGAUGCGGAAUUCCAGGUGUAGCGGUGAAAUGCGUAGAUAUCAGGAAGAACACCCGUGGCGAAGGCGGCACUCUGGGACGGUACUGACGCUGAGACGCGAAAGCGUGGGGAGCGAACAGG
rnacentral:rRNA from 1 species